AGGAUUCCCCUAGUAACGGCGAGUGAAGAGGGAAGAGCCCAGCACCGAAGCCUGCGGCAGGUUUGCUGUUAGGCAAUGUGGUGUUUGGGUCGACUCGCGGGAUUGCCACUCCACUCGAAGUCCAGCAUUGAGUAUGGUUACUGGACUCGGCCCAGAGAGGGUGAUAGGCCCGUACGGGUGGAGGCUCAGACAAGCGAGGCAAUUCACCAGGUCGACCUUAGAGUCGGGUUGUUUGAGAAUGCAGCCCAAAGUGGGUGGUAAACUCCAUCCAAGGCUAAAUACUAACACGAGUCCGAUAGCAAACAAGUACCGUGAGGGAAAGUUGAAAAGUACUUUGAAGAGAGAGUAAACAGUACGUGAAGCCGCAUGCAGGUAAACGGGUGGCGUCAAGCUGCUAGCCUGGAGAAAUCAGCUGGCUAGGAUGUUGUAAGCGCCUGUCGCUUCGCCAGUCAGGGUUAGAUGUGGUGGUCUACCGUAAAACGGUGGGUCAGGCCGUAAGGUCUGAACAUGCGUACCGGGCGGAAGCUGGAGCAUGCCAUCCAUCUGUUGGACUGUCUGGCCAGUGCACUUUCUCCAUGGUGAACACCACGAUCGGUGGUAUUGCCAGUCUGCUGUGGCCGAGUUGCGCUAGGUGAAUCUCAGGGUUCGCUGAGUGUGAUCACGGGCAAUUUCAGUAAACGGCGUACGGGUGCCGCUUUGGUGGUGUCCGUGCGUGUUAUCGGCUACUGGUUGUCGUCGGGUCGGCGUGCUGUUGUUGCAACUGCUGCGUGCCGGCGCGGUGGGCUAUGGCGGUAUGAAACUGUGCAAGGCACCGGAGUUAUCGGUCUCAAAUGCAUCUCGCACGCACGUUGUAAGUGCUGUGGGGUGCCGUUGCUGUUUGCUCACCGUUUGGUCUGAUUGUCGUGUUGCCUGCGCAAAGUAGGUCCGGCAAUGGUUUAAUGUGAGUUAGACAGUGGAUGGUGCCUCGUGUGUGAGUUGUGGUGGGCCAAAUAAUCGGUGGUGCUGUGGUAGACGAGCUACCCGACCCGUCUUGAAACACGGACCAAGGAGUUCAACAUGUAUGCGAGUCACUGGGUCCUACGAAACCCAAAGGCGCAAUGAAAGUGAAGCUUCGACAUGUUCUCGAAGUGAGGUGAGAUCCUGCCGUUACUCGCACCAGCCCGUGUCAGCAACAGGCUAAGAGCGGUAGGCGCAUCACCGGCCCGUCCCAUGAUGUGGUCAUUGGGUUAAGUCUGUGCUCGUCGCUGCU
rnacentral:rRNA from 1 species